rnacentral:rRNA from 1 species
UACGUAGGGGGCAAGCGUUGUCCGGAAUCAUUGGGCGUAAAGAGCGUGUAGGCGGCCAGAUAAGUCCGCUGUGAAAUCUCGAGGCUCAACUUCGAGCUGUCGGUGGAAACUGUCUGGCUAGAGUCCGGAAGAGGAGAAUGGAAUUCCUGGUGUAGCGGUGAAAUGCGCAGAUAUCAGGAAGAACACCGGUGGCGAAGGCGGUUCUCUGGGCCUUACCUGACGCUGAGGAGCGAAAGCGUGGGGAGCGAACAGG